rnacentral:tRNA from 1 species
AUCUAAAUAGUUUAAUUAAAAUUCUAGUCUGUGAUUCUAGAGAUGCAUAGGUUUGCUUUGGAUU